AACGAACGCUGGCGGCGUGGAUAAGACAUGCAAGUCGAACGAGAGAAUUGCUAGCUUGCUAAUAAUUCUCUAGUGGCGCACGGGUGAGUAACACGUGAGUAACCUGCCCCCGAGAGCGGGAUAGCCCUGGGAAACUGGGAUUAAUACCGCAUAGUAUCGAAAGAUUAAAGCAGCAAUGCGCUUGGGGAUGGGCUUGCGGCCUAUUAGUUAGUUGGUGAGGUAACGGCUCACCAAGGCGAUGACGGGUAGCCGGUCUGAGAGGAUGUCCGGCCACACUGGAACUGAGACACGGUCCAGACACCUACGGGUGGCAGCAGUCGAGAAUCAUUCACAAUGGGGGAAACCCUGAUGGUGUGACGCCGCGUGGGGGAAUGAAGGUCUUCGGAUUGUAAACCCCUGUCAUGUGGGAGCAAAUUAAAAAGAUAGUACCACAAGAGGAAGAGACGGCUAACUCUGUGCCAGCAGCCGCGGUAAUACAGAGGUCUCAAGCGUUGUUCGGAAUCACUGGGCGUAAAGCGUGCGUAGGCUGUUUCGUAAGUCGUGUGUGAAAGGCGCGGGCUCAACCCGCGGACGGCACAUGAUACUGCGAGACUAGAGUAAUGGAGGGGGAACCGGAAUUCUCGGUGUAGCAGUGAAAUGCGUAGAUAUCGAGAGGAACACUCGUGGCGAAGGCGGGUUCCUGGACAUUAACUGACGCUGAGGCACGAAGGCCAGGGGAGCGAAAGGGAUUAGAUACCCCUGUAGUCCUGGCAGUAAACGGUGCACGCUUGGUGUGCGGGGAAUCGACCCCCUGCGUGCCGGAGCUAACGCGUUAAGCGUGCCGCCUGGGGAGUACGGUCGCAAGAUUAAAACUCAAAGAAAUUGACGGGGACCCGCACAAGCGGUGGAGUAUGUGGCUUAAUUCGAUGCAACGCGAAGAACCUUACCUGGGCUUGACAUGUAAUGAACAACAUGUGAAAGCAUGCGACUCUUCGGAGGCGUUACACAGGUGCUGCAUGGCCGUCGUCAGCUCGUGUUGUGAGAUGUUUGGUUAAGUCCAGCAACGAGCGCAACCCCUGUUGCCAGUUACCAGCACGUGAAGGUGGGGACUCUGGCGAGACUGCCCAGAUCAACUGGGAGGAAGGUGGGGACGACGUCAGGUCAGUAUGGCCCUUAUGCCCAGGGCUGCACACGUACUACAAUGCCCAGUACAGAGGGGGCCGAAGCCGCGAGGCGGAGGAAAUCCUGAAAACUGGGCCCAGUUCGGACUGUAGGCUGCAACCCGCCUACACGAAGCCGGAAUCGCUAGUAAUGGCGCAUCAGCUACGGCGCCGUGAAUACGUUCCCGGGUCU
rnacentral:rRNA from 1 species